UACACACUUAUACACAUAUGUACACACACAAAACAGCUAACCCAGCUUUAUAUUUUCAAUACAAUCAUCAUUUUCUAUACAACUUUUCAAUCAAAAUUAGCUUGAAAUUAUUCAAGAAUUAUGGAUGCCCCAACCUCCCAAGAGAUGUCGUAUGUUGAUCAUAUCAAAAGGCGACACGAAGAGAAAGGCUUUCUCUAUGCAUGUUUGUUCGCACUGUGUUGCUGUUUUUGCUGCUAUGAGGCUUGUGAGUGCUGUCUGGAUAUUUGCUGCUGCAACUGUGGUUAAAUUCUUCACAGUAGUGAAAGAUCAUUUGUAUGUAUUAUAUUAAUUUUUGUGUAUUUUCAGAGAUGGAAUUCUGUGCAAGAUGUAAUAUAUUGUCGUGAACCUUUUGCAAUAGCUUCUGUAUUUGUAUAAUGACUAAACAUCAAAUAUGGAACAUCAUAUAAUUUUAUCAAUAUUUUAGCUGACUGGAUGAA